GCCUGGGUGGUGGAACGGUAUACACGCAUCACUUAAAAUGAUGUGCCGAAAGGCAUGUGGGUUCGAGUCCCACCCCGGGCA
rnacentral:tRNA from 1 species